rnacentral:misc_RNA from 1 species
GAUGAAGAACGUAGUGAAAUGCGAUAAGUAGUGUGAAUUGCAGAAGUACCGUGAAUCAUCGAAUCUUUGAACGCAAAUUGCACUCUCUGGUAUUCCGGGGAGUAUGCCUGUUUGAGGGUCGCUUAACAAACCAUCGAUUUCGUUGCUUUUUUUUUAAAGAGUGAUGUUUAUCGGAUUUGAGCCGUCUUUUUUUUUUUUAUAUUUAAAAGUGGCUUAAAAUUGUUUUUUUUGGUACGAUCGAAGCGUAUUUUUAUGAUCAAUUUUUGGUUAAAGAAACGCACACGUACCGUUAUUAUAUAUGAUGUAAUACGUUUGACUAUUGGAUUUAGUUCAUUCGUAUACGAUAUUUUUCAAUAUUUGACCUCAAAUCAGGUAAGAACACCCGCUGAACUUAAGCAUAUCAAUAAGCGGAGGA